AAAUUGAAGAGUUUGAUCAUGGCUCAGAUUGAACGCUGGCGGCAGGCCUAACACAUGCAAGUCGAACGGUAGCACAGAGAGCUUGCUCUCGGGUGACGAGUGGCGGACGGGUGAGUAAUGUCUGGGAAACUGCCUGAUGGAGGGGGAUAACUACUGGAAACGGUGGCUAAUACCGCAUAACGUCGCAAGACCAAAGAGGGGGACCUUCGGGCCUCUUGCCAUCAGAUGUGCCCAGAUGGGAUUAGCUUGUUGGUGAGGUAACGGCUCACCAAGGCGACGAUCCCUAGCUGGUCUGAGAGGAUGACCAGCCACACUGGAACUGAGACACGGUCCAGACUCCUACGGGAGGCAGCAGUGGGGAAUAUUGCACAAUGGGCGCAAGCCUGAUGCAGCCAU
rnacentral:rRNA from 1 species